AGAGUUUGAUCCUGGCUCAGAUUGAACGCUGGCGGCAUGCUUUACACAUGCAAGUCGAGCGGCAGCGCGGGGCAACCCUGGCGGCGAGCGGCGGACGGGUGAGUAAUGCAUCGGAACGUAUCCCGUAGUGGGGGACAACCCAGCGAAAGCUGGGCUAAUACCGCAUAUGCUCUACGGAGGAAAGUGGGGGACCCGCAAGGGCCUCACGCUAUGGGAGCGGCCGAUGUCCGAUUAGUUAGUUGGUGGGGUAAAGGCCCACCAAGGCGACGAUCGGUAGCUGGUCUGAGAGGAUGAUCAGCCACACUGGGACUGAGACACGGCCCAGACUCCUACGGGAGGCAGCAGUGGGGAAUUUUGGACAAUGGGGGCAACCCUGAUCCAGCCCAUGCCGCGUGCGGGAAGAAGGCCUUCGGGUUGUAAACCGCUUUUGGUCGGGAAGAAAAGGCGUCUCCUAAUACGGGGCGUUCUUGACGGUACCGGCAGAAUAAGCACCGGCUAACUACGUG
rnacentral:rRNA from 1 species